CCUAUCCUGGAAAAGAAAAGAAACGUCAUGGUAAAAAAACAACUGCGGUUUUUGUGAACACCUACUACGGUGUAGCAAACCACCAUGGCACAUGUUUACCUAUGUAACAAACCUGCACAUUCUGAACAUGGACCUCGGAACUUAAAAAAAGAAGAUAAAAGGCUUGAGCGAGCCUGUUUGCCCCUUCCACCAUGCGAGGACACAUACAAGGCACCAUCUAUGAGGAACGAGCUCCCAACGAGCUCCCAACAGAUGCUGAUUUUGCUGGUGUCUCGAUCUUGGACAACCUCCAGAAUUGU
rnacentral:lncRNA from 1 species